rnacentral:ncRNA from 1 species
GUUAUCAAGAGUGGACGAGAGAACGGCUCUAUGACUCCACAGCAACCUUUUAAGUUAGGUGCUAAUACCGGCAAAGUAAAUACUUUGAGUGAUAA